rnacentral:rRNA from 1 species
GAUGAACGCUGGCGGCGUGCCUAAUACAUGCAAGUCGAGCGAACAGACGAGGAGCUUGCUCCUCUGACGUUAGCGGCGGACGGGUGAGUAACACGUGGAUAACCUACCUAUAAGACUGGGAUAACUUCGGGAAACCGGAGCUAAUACCGGAUAAUAUAUUGAACCGCAUGGUUCAAUAGUGAAAGACGGUUUUGCUGUCACUUAUAGAUGGAUCCGCGCCGCAUUAGCUAGUUGGUAAGGUAACGGCUUACCAAGGCAACGAUGCGUAGCCGAUCUGAGAGGGUGAUCGGCCACACUGGAACUGAGACACGGUCCAGACUCCUACGGGAGGCAGCAGUGGGGAAUCUUCCGCAAUGGGCGAAAGCCUGACGGAGCAACGCCGCGUGAGUGAUGAAGGUCUUCGGAUCGUAAAGCUCUGUUAUUAGGGAAGAACAAAUGUGUAAGUAACUAUGCACGUCUUGACGGUACCUAAUCAGAAAGCCACGGCUAACUACGUG